UCCCUCUCAGGGUCGCACCUGGAGAGUUUCCAGUACUCUACCAGUCUUGGCUAAGGGAGGGAGAAUCAAGCAGAGGCACACCCAUUCCAUUUUUGGCUUGGACAUUGGCUAGCGAGUGGAAGGCAAUCUGCUACAAUU
rnacentral:snoRNA from 1 species